AGAGUUUGAUCCUGGCUCAGGACGAACGCUGGCGGCGUGCCUAAUACAUGCAAGUCGAGCGGACAGGUGGGAGCUUGCUCCCUGAUGUUAGCGGCGGACGGGUGAGUAACACGUGGGUAACCUGCCUGUAAGACUGGGAUAACUCCGGGAAACCGGGGCUAAUACCGGAUGGUUGUUUGAACCGCAUGGUUCAAACAUAAAAGGUGGCUUCGGCUACCACUUACAGAUGGACCCGCGGCGCAUUAGCUAGUUGGUGAGGUAACGGCUCACCAAGGCAACGAUGCGUAGCCGACCUGAGAGGGUGAUCGGCCACACUGGGACUGAGACACGGCCCAGACUCCUACGGGAGGCAGCAGUAGGGAAUCUUCCGCAAUGGACGAAAGUCUGACGGAGCAACGCCGCGUGAGUGAUGAAGGUUUUCGGAUCGUAAAGCUCUGUUGUUAGGGAAGAACAAGUACCGUUCGAACAGGGCGGUACCUUGACGGUACCUAACCAGAAAGCCACGGCUAACUACGUGCCAGCAGCCGCGGUAAUACGUAGGUGGCAAGCGUUUUCCGGAAUUAUUGGGCGUAAAGGGCUCGCAGGCGGUUUCUUAAGUCUGAUGUGAAAGCCCCCGGCUCAACCGGGGAGGGUCAUUGGAAACUGGGGAACUUGAGUGCAGAAGAGGAGAGUGGAAUUCCACGUGUAGCGGUGAAAUGCGUAGAGAUGUGGAGGAACACCAGUGGCGAAGGCGACUCUCUGGUCUGUAACUGACGCUGAGGAGCGAAAGCGUGGGGAGCGAACAGGAUUAGAUACCCUGGUAGUCCACGCCGUAAACGAUGAGUGCUAAGUGUUAGGGGGUUUCCGCCCCUUAGUGCUGCAGCUAACGCAUUAAGCACUCCGCCUGGGGAGUACGGUCGCAAGACUGAAACUCAAAGGAAUUGACGGGGGCCCGCACAAGCGGUGGAGCAUGUGGUUUAAUUCGAAGCAACGCGAAGAACCUUACCAGGUCUUGACAUCCUCUGACAAUCCUAGAGAUAGGACGUCCCCUUCGGGGGCAGAGUGACAGGUGGUGCAUGGUUGUCGUCAGCUCGUGUUGUGAGAUGUUGGGUUAAGUCCCGCAACGAGCGCAACCCUUGAUCUUAGCUGCCAGCAUUCAGUUGGGCACUCUAAGGUGACUGCCGGUGACAAACCGGAGGAAGGUGGGGAUGACGUCAAAUCAUCAUGCCCCUUAUGACCUGGGCUACACACGUGCUACAAUGGACAGAACAAAGGGCAGCGAAACCGCGAGGUUAAGCCAAUCCCACAAAUCUGUUCUCAGUUCGGAUCGCAGUCUGCAACUCGACUGCGUGAAGCUGGAAUCGCUAGUAAUCGCGGAACAGCAUGCCGCGGUGAAUACGUUCCCGGGCCUUGUACACACCGCCCGUCACACCACGAGAGUUUGUAACACCCGAAGUCGGUGAGGUAACCUUUUAGGAGCCAGCCGCCGAAGGUGGGACAGAUGAUUGGGGUGAAGUCGGAACAAGGUAGCCGUAUCGGAAGGUGCGGCUG
rnacentral:rRNA from 1 species